rnacentral:ncRNA from 1 species
AAAAUCACUUAGGGGUGCUGUAGGUUUUACGGCUGAGAACAAACCCUUAGAACCUGAUCGGAUAAUGCCGACGUAGGGAAAGUAUUUAGGUUAUGU